AUAAAUAUGUAGGUAAUUGUGUUGAAGAAUCCUUACCUCUAUUGAUGAUAAUAAACUAACCUUCGAAUUAAUCUCAAUCCAUACUCAGGCUUAUGAAUCAAGUACUAAGGGGACCUACUUGAAGAUCUCCUAUCUGAAACAUUAUUUUCUUAUAUAACCAAUCUCAAAUACUACUCUGUUACACCCUGAAUUUGGCAUCU
rnacentral:lncRNA from 1 species